AUUUAUUAUUACGUGUUGUUGUUAUGGUAUUGUUUUGUUGAUUGUUUUUGUGGUGAUAUCGAGAAUGUUGUGUUGUUUGUUGUUGUUAUUUAGUUGAUUGUUCUUCUGCUGAUAUAGUAAUGUUAAUGUUGUUGCAGGAAGUGCAAGGUGGCAGAGUGCGAGACGCAAGGUGGAAUGUAGAACUCCGUAGUCAUGUUCUUCAGUUAAGACUUCUACCCGAUUGACAACAGGGAGACAAGCAAAAUUGUAGUUCAAAACAAGAAGAACAGUUACGAGGCUUAUGAAAAAAGUUGUUGUGGACACAACGAAGCCAAUGUACCGGUCGAAUAUUGCCAGAGUGAUCAAAACCGUGUUGGAGUUCGAUUUGGGUGAUGAUCAUGUCAAGCACUUACAGAAGACCCGUUUUGGCUCAUGAUUGAUGCGAUCCAAGUUUAUAAAUUGGAUCCGAACGCAUAUAAGAAGUGUAAUGCAACAGUGUGUCGUAUAAUUCAGAGAUACAAUCCGAAUGAUGAGAAAAUUUUCAUCGGGGGGAGAGGGUUGUUGAUCCGGAAUAGUAACAUCUGUUUAGUUUUUGGGGUGCAAUAUAGGAAAGAGAAGUUGGAUUUAGCGCAUGGUAGGAAGGCUCCGUCAAAUUUUAUACAACAACGCUGCCAUAACGUCAGUAGGAUUUCAUCGAAGGUAAUCAAAGAUUCACUUGUAGUGGCAAUGCAUGGGAGGACGGAGCGUGACGAAGAAGAUGUUGCGAAAUUGAUGUGUUUGUAUAUAUGUGCGAAGUUAUUUUUUGCUACAAUGAGUGAGUCCAUUGGGUAGGCAUUCGUUCGGGUUAUUGAUAAGUCGGAGAUGUUAGGCUUGUAUGAUUGGACAUCAACGAUCUGGAACGCAUAGAUUUCUUUGUUGAAUGAGGCGCACAACAAGCCAAAACGGGUUACCGGGUGUGUGGUUGCGUUACUGCUCUUCCUUUGUAAGCACAUGGGCAUUGUAGAGCUGGAUAGGUGCAAUGUUUCAUUACCUUUUUUCCAGUGGAACCUUGGAAAACUCAUUGGGAAAUUGAAAAGUUUGGAAUUAUCGGUGGAGGGUUCUAUAAAGGUAUGACUUACAACUUGUUGGUGAGUUGUGUUACAUGUUUGGUUUAUUGGUAAUUAAAAAUAUGGUACCGUUGUGUUUUUUUCCCAAUUUAAUCCUGAUAAACUUCCUGGAACUGUCAUUGAAAGGUAUUUUGUUAAGGUAUUAGCAGAUGCACAAGUCGGUGUGGAACAAAGUGGGAAGGUGUUGGAAGUGGAGCCGGUGAGUACAUGGGAUGGGUGGGCUGCUAAUGCGCCAAUUGAUGCUAUGAACUUUGUUGAAACGAGUUUGGAUUGUUGGCAGCCAGAUUCGCCACAUGGUGGUGAGGUUGAAUUGACGUCGGAAACUAAGAAAGAAGACAUUCCCAAGCCACAGUCAUGUGGUAGUAACAACGAGGCUGGGAAAAUAUUGGCAGCUGGGGAAGCAUGGCCGGUGUUAUUCCCCGAUCUGUUAGACCUAUCAUGCACACCACCUAGGGCCACUGUUUGUGAAGACACCAAUGAUGCAACAGAAUAGUUAAAGAAAACUUUGAACAGAAUUGAUGAGUUGGAGACAGAAGUUCGAACAAAGUCUGGCCGUGUGGGUGAGCUAGAUGGUAAGGUCGAGGCCAUGGAAAGGAUGCUAGGUGCGUAGGCUAGCAACCUAUUGAUUGGCUUUGAUGGUGUAAUUGUUGCAAAAGAUGUUGAAAUUACUCGUCUAAGCACAUUAGUUAGUUGGCUAUAAGCAAGGAUAACAACAUUGGAAGACCACGUGGACGACUGUGAGGUCUACAAAAUGACCCAGUCAAUUCUAAAGGAGAAUUCCAACCUGCGGAUGCCAUUAGAAAAUCGGUCAGGUAAAAGUAUUGAGUCAAAAAAUUUGUUAAGUUGUGACAGUGGUCAACGUUCAGCAUCAGCUGGUGAAAAUUUUGUCCAAGUUGGGAAGGGUUUGAUAGAGUGUGUUGAUGGUAUGGAUUGGGUUGCAAAUUUGGGUGAUGAACGUGUUGACAGUACAAAAUGUGAUAAUGUGGCGAUAGAGAGUGACAUUGAGAAUUUCGGUGUUGGUGGCCAACUAGACACCAUCGUCAUUCUUGACGUCAUUGGUUUAGAAGGAAUAGGCAAGGCUGAAGACAUUAGUCCUAGUCUGAACAAGACAUCAUUGGUGAGAAGAGUCAAGAGUAAGGCGUGAUGUGAAUUCCGAUUAAGCGACUACGAGUAUCCCAAUUUAGGUGGUCGUGCUAAACAAAUAUGGAAGACGGGCAAUAGGGAGACCGUUGGGACUGAAGUAAUUUACGACGUUGAGGAUGCUGAAGUUGGAAAUAAAACAUGGCAAGGGUUUGGAAUAAGCAGGAAGCAUGCUGUGGGAAACAUGCUUGAACAUGACGAAAUGCAGCUUUUGGAAGAGUGUACACUUUUGCUUGGCGAUGGGUAAUCAUCAACAAUUUCAUUGCAUUUUAUUUUAUGACCUAGUGCAGCAAUCUGGGAUGGAGGGCUGUAAUCUGGGAUGGAGGUGAAAGCGGUAUACAAGUCAUGUUUGCAGAUAUUUAUGACCUAGUGCAGCAAUCCUUUAUUCAAGGGAACUGAUUUGUAUAGGUAAUUGACACAUACACAGCGAUGUUGAUGGAGUUGCAGAAAAAAGUAGUUGAUAGGAUCGAGAACGUUGACAUGUCUUACGUUUUUAGUAGGUUAUGCUCGGAUGUGAUGAGGAAUCCGAGUGCACUAUUGCGGGCGAAGUAUCUGAAUGUUCAAACCAAAACCGCGAAAGAACACAGAUGCACGCAUUACUCGGUGUACCAUGCCAAACACUGGACUAUAAUGGUGCACGACUCGUUCAACGAGACAUGGAAACAUUAUAAUUCUACAAAACCGAGAAGAGGAAUGCGGGAUGAAUAUUACAAUGAAUCGCUGAAAGUGGUAAGCCUGUGAACAUGAAAUUACUUGUUAGAAGGCGUAGUGAUUUUUUUCAUAAGGUUGGCGACAGGUAGGGAAAUUUGCAUUUUUUUUUUGUACUUACGUUAAUUAUUCCUGUUUGUUUGAAGUUGAUAUGUGUGGCAUACAAUUGAUGUAUGUGAAACUUUUAUUUUAUAGAAGUAGUGGGUGGAAAACUACUAU